GAUGAACGCUGGCGGCGUGCCUAACACAUGCAAGUCGAGCGAACGGACGAGAAGCUUGCUCCUCUGAUGUUAGCGGCGGACGGGCGAGUAACACGUGGAUAACCUACUUAUAAGACGGGGAUAACUACGGGAAACCGGAGCUAAUACCGGAUGAUAUUUUGAACCGGAUGGUUCAAAAGUGAAAGACGGCUUUGCUGUCACUAAUAGCUGGAUCCGCGCUGCAUUAGCUAGUUGGUAAGGUAACGGCUUACCAAGGCAACGAUGCGUAGCCGACCUGAGAGGGUGAUCGGCCACACUGGAACUGAGACACGGUCCAGACUCCUACGGGAGGCAGCAGUAGGGAAUCUUCGGCAAUGGGCGAAAGCCUGACGGAGCAACGCCGCGUGAGUGAUGAAGGUCUUCGGAUCGUAAAGCUCUGUUAUUAGGGAAGAACAUAUGUGUAAGUAACUGUGCACAUCUUGACGGUACCUAAUCAGAAAGCCACGGCUAACUACGUG
rnacentral:rRNA from 1 species